UGACACGUAGCUUAAUUGGAAAAGCACUCGACUUUUAAUCGAGGUGAUGUGGGUUCAAAUCCCUCUGUGUCAA
rnacentral:tRNA from 2 species